UGAGGAGCUAGUCCAAAAUUUUCAUUUCUUUGUCACCAAACUUAUCUUGUAUUUUUACUUUCUAUUAAAAAAAAUCAUAAAGGAUUUAGUGGCCACAGUAGACAACCAACUGAACAUGAGUUCUUCGUGUGAGACUGUUGCUAAGAGGGUGAUCGUGAUCCUUGAAUGUGUAAGUAGAGGAAUAUCAAGUAGGAAUAGGGAGGUGCUAUUACCUCUGUACGUGGCAUUAGUGAGACCAUUACUGGAAUAUUGUGUCUAGCUCUGGGGUCUACACUUCAAAAAAAAUGUUUAAAAAUUAGAAAGGGUUCAGAAAAGUAAAAGCAGCAAAACUUUAAUAAUGAGAGACUACAGAAGCUGAACCUAAUUAGUUUAUCCAAGAAAAGAUUAAGAGGUGACUUCAUUGUGGUCUCCAAGUACCUACGUGGGGAACAGAUUUUUGAUAGUAGACAGCUGUUUAAUCUAGCAGAAAAAGGCAUAACAAAAUCCAGUGAUUGGAAACUAGCCAAAUUCAGACUAGAAAUACGGUGCAAAUUUUAAACUGUGAUAGUAAUUAACCAUUGGAACAACUUACUUAUUAAUAUAGUGAAUUCUCUUGAAAUCUUUACAUCAAAACUAAAUCUCUUUCUGAAGAAUAUGCUACAACUUAAACAGACAUUAUGGGUUUGAUGUUGAAAUUAUUAGGUGGGGUUCUCUGGCCUGUGUUAUGCAGGAGAUCAGACCAGAUAAACACAGUAGUCCUUUCGGGCCUUAGAAUGUGUGAAAAUAUUGCAUAAUAGAAUAUCUUCCAUCCUUCCACUGAGAGGUAGUUUCUGGCUAAACAAAUAUUCACAUGUACUCCUUAAUUAUCUUGCUUCCUUUAUCCACUGGUUCAGAUAGAAAAGUGGCCAUAUCUAACAUUGCAAUACAGUAAAACAUCCUCUGCAUAUUUUCUAAUUAAUUAAACCUCUCCAGACUGUAUCAACACUUUUUUCUAUAGCAUCACUUUAAUAUGUUAAUUCACGUUGCUGUCCCCUUUCUAUUCUAAAUGAACAAUUUUUGUUGUUAAGAAAGAGAAAAUUAUAAACCAAGAUUAACAACACAGGAAAAAAAAGCGAUAUUCCACAUACAAGCACAGUAAAAUCCAGCAUCCUCAGUUUGGUGUGAUCUCUGGUCUCUGCUCAGGAGAGGCCCAGGUCUGGAAUGUUAUUUCUCCAGUUCUGGACUCUGCCUCCCAAAUUGUGGACAACAACUUUUACAGAGUCCUGUGCUUUUAAGAUACUUCCCUCUCCCCAUGAUCCUGCCAAGGAUGAGAGCCAAGAUGAGCCAGAAAGGGAGUAGCAAUUGUUAGAUCUUCCCACUGAGUGGCAGCAUACAGUGUUCCUGAGGAAAGCACCCUCCUCUACAGGGAAGUGUAUAUUGUUUCAUGUUCUCUGUGUAUAUAAAUCUCCCCACUGUAUUUUCCACUGAAUGCAUCCGAUGAAGUGAUCUGUAGCUCACGAAAGCUUAUGCUCAAAUAAAUUUGUUAGUCUCUAAGGUGCCACAAGUCCUCCUUUUCUUUUUGUACAUCUUAUGUAACUGAUCAAUGCCUGACUCAGUUUGGCAUUUGAAAGCAUAACAUGAAAAUUGGUUAUUGGUUUUGCAGUUUUCCUACUAGCAAAAAAAGAUGUGUCAUGAAUUUGUCAAAGUAUUUUGAAGUCUUGAGAAUUACCUCCAAUUUUACAUCUGUU